AAGUCGUAACAAGGUUUCCGUAGGUGAACCUGCGGAAGGAUCAUUACCAAUCCAUAAACUACAAACCCACCCUCGUGUGCACCGUAGACGUCCCCUUUGGCGAGCCGCCGGGGCCAGGGCUCUGGCCCCCGGGCGCCGGCUCGCCGGAGGAGUUUCCUUUUUUCUCUCCGAACAGACCUCCAUGAAAAACCCCGGCUGUAAGGGAAAUAGCUCGGCUCCGCCGCUCGGGAAACCGGGGGAGCGGGGGCGACGCAACGACGAACGAAUAACCAACCAAAAACAACUUUUAACAACGGAUCUCUUGGCUCUC
rnacentral:misc_RNA from 1 species